AGUGAACGCUGGCGGUAGGCCUAACACAUGCAAGUCGAACGGCAGCACAGUAAGAGCUUGCUCUUACGGGUGGCGAGUGGCGGACGGGUGAGGAAUACAUCUGAAUCUACUUUUUCGUGGGGGAUAACGUAGGGAAACUUACGCUAAUACCGCAUACGACCUACGGGUGAAAGCAGGGGAUCUUCGGACCUUGCGCGAUUGAAUGAGCCGAUGUCGGAUUAGCUAGUUGGCGGGGUAAAGGCCCACCAAGGCUACGAUCCGUAGCUGGUCUGAGAGGAUGAUCAGCCACACUGGAACUGAGACACGGUCCAGACUCCUACGGGAGGCAGCAGUGGGGAAUAUUGGACAAUGGGCGAAAGCCUGAUCCAGCCAUACCGCGUGGGUGAAGAAGGCCUUCGGGUUGUAAAGCACUUUUGUUGGGAAAGAAAAGCAGAAGGUUAAUACCCCGCUGUUCUGACGGUACCAAAAGAAUAAGCACCGGCUAACUUCGUG
rnacentral:rRNA from 1 species